UUUCCUAGAUGCCAAAAGCAGAAAUUCCCCGAGGUCAAACCUGAAAUUCCGCUUCGACAAGCUCAGCCAUGGCAGCUCUAGUGCGGGUCACUAAUGUGAAAGAGGAGUCCUUCGCUUGUCAAAGGGAAGCCCCGAUUCUGUCUCGGAGAAGGCUCCUAUUCCGGCAGUUUGGGGGUGCCAUCCACUAUUCUGACCGUUACAGUCCUGCUGCCCCACCGGCCACUUGCCCACCAGACCAGCUGUCUGUCCCCGUGUCCCGAUCUGGCCACCAUCCUGCCUGUCCCCUUGCCGAGGCACCCUGCAAGCACUCUCCUUCUCUGGACGGGGCCUCAUUCCUCCAGGCUCCCCCUGCUCCCGACCGGCCCGUGUGACGUGUGUCUGGCUCGUGCAUCACCUUGUUUUGUGCACAGAGGAAAGAGUUGGGCAAAGGGGAUCUGGGUCCUGGGGACUGGGGCCAAGACUGGAGAAGCAGAAAGCGGUGAGGUGGGGUGCGGGGGCCGCCAGCUCGAUGCUGCACGGGGAGGGGCAGCACAGUGUCCUGCACGUGACAGGCACAGCAAACCCAUUGAGUGGUGGCGGAGGGACCACUUUUCCAGGCACCAAGAUCUGUAGCCGGCCUCCACGAUGUGAGGCUAGAAAUCAGCGGCGUUGCUCGCACAGCUGUGUGCUUCUGCGCUAGGAGCUGCUUUCUGGCCCAUCUGCCGCCCUCGGGCCCAGCACUGCCUCGUCCCUGAGGCCAGCGCACCCUGGGUGCCGGCAGCAGAGGCGAGACAGAGCUGCGCAUGUGUGGAGGUGGCCCCACGCCGUUGCUGUGGGAGAAGCCCUGGUCAGUCUCUCCCCUCAGAGCGGAUGUGUUCCCCAAGGAGGGGUGGGCGGCCCGGAGCAGGAAGGAAUUCAGGGAGAGCAAGCUGGCGAACUGUGCUGUGGGGCCUUGGCUGAGGAGAACCGUGGGGCCAUGGGCUGGGAUGGGAUCAGGUCCCCGCUGGAGGUGGAGGUUCGUGGAAGAGUUGCUUUAGCCUACCACUUAGGUCAGAGCCGGGGAGGUGGGGGGUGACCUGUCCCCUCGGUCGACGUGUGGACGUGGAAGGUAGGCGUGAGGAAGGAGCGACAUCCUUCUGCGAUUUCUGCUCCUGGCAUCUGUGGGCCGGGGUGGGGGGCAGGGCUACCUUGGGGGCUCUUUCCAGCUGCUCUGCCCUUUGGCCUUGUUGGCGCUUGGUCCUCCGAUCCCCUUCACCCACGGGUCUGUAGGCAGUGGUCACAUUGGCGGGAUUUUUACGACCUGGGCCCCAAGCUGGAUGCAGUUCAGAGGCUGCCUGCCCCCUGCCCCCUUGGCCAGAGCCAGCUCACUCUCAGGAGCAGGCCCCCUCUCCCUGUGUCUCACCCACCCCCGUCUGCAGAGCCCUGGGGGUGCGAGUGGGGCCCUGUAACGUGGGAUAGCCCUGGUGCCUCAGGCCGGGCCCCUUCUUCCGUGAGCCGAUGACAAGGAUUUCUACCAAAUGUUUUAUUUGCAUUGGGAUUCGGGCCUGUUCUGAAGUCAAAGCAAUCCUGUCAAUGUUCUACUUGUUUUUGACUGAUGUGACCGUUUCCCCACUGCUUUUGCCAUUAGAGCAAAACCUUGAUCCUUUGUCUCUCACUCAUGCGGACGUUGUGGGAUCCUAUUUGCCGGCUGGGUGGAUCUUUCCCCUCACUAUUUGGGAAACGUGUUUACUUAAAAUUCUAGUCCAGUAAAAUUUCUUCCAGUGAGAAAGAAGGUCAACAAGCGUCUGUUUAGCUUUUAUUAAAAAUCACUGUAGCAGCACCCACUGCUGGAAUGAGGUCUGCGGAUUCUGGCAGUGUUCUGUUGGCUGGCUUUCUGAAGGAACUUGAAAGGUCAAACUGCGUUUAAAACAAAAACAAAAAACACACAGCUCUUCCAGGUUCUGGCUUGCUUCUUGGGUAGCUGGUAUUUAUAGCUGCUUGGUGGUUGUGCUGUGCUGUGUUGUGGUCUGGGGGUCCUCUGGAGUUUCCAGGUUGUCCCCACCCUGUCCUUGGGAGCCUCAUACCUGCUUUCCUCCACUGCUCUGGCUGUUCCUUCUGCAGCCCCCACCUCCUGGGAGGGCUCUGCCCCUGCCUCUGAGCCAGUGGCCAGGAUGGCUGGGUGUGUCCAGGGACCCUGGGAGGCACAGGCCUGUUCCCUACGAAACAGACCUGAGAAGUGGUGUCUACCUUCUGUUUGCUACUGGGGGUGCACUGGGCAGGGUCUGAAGCGUUCCUCUCUCUGGGUCCUGUCUCACCUUCUCUAGAAAGCCCAACCCAUCUAUGGCUUCCAGAGUAUACAUGACCAGCCUGUGAGGUCCUAGGGCUGAGGGGGACGAGGACAGAGAGUGGACAGUCUCAUCCCACCCCUCUGCACAUUGGGGCAGGCAGCUUGGGUUCCUGAAGGCUGCUUCCCCCAUAUUCUCUUGCAUCUGCUCUGGUCCAAAGUUUCCUUUUAUUGCUGCACCCAGUCUUGGGGCUCAAAUAUUUGCUCAAGUCUCCUUGGUCCCUGUGACCAGACUUAUCCUGACGGUGCUCAUGCUGGGAUUUGAAACACUCUGCUUGUGAUCUGGACACAUCUCUGCCUCUGGGAAGUGCCUGACUCGUGGAAGAAACUACACUGGUCAGACUCUGCAGGGCACCCAUAUGCUCAGUUGAUGCUUAACAACAGAUGCAGAAUGAGCUUGAGAUAGAAGAUCUGACCUAGAGUUUCUAAUGAAUGGAAAAUGAUGAAUGAAUGAAAAAUGAGUGAAAAACAUUCUGUGGUUCAGCCUUGUUGGCCUCAUCUCAAUGUCCAAGCCUUCUGGGCCCCUUUUGACAUCUAAUCCAUCCAUAUCGUCAUCCAGCUGAGAAACCUCAGCCCCAGUGAGGGGAAGUGACUCACUGGAGGUCGCACAACUAACGAGUGGCAAAGCUGGGAUUGGAACCCACAGCCCAGGCCCGUUCUUCGGUGCCACCUACAUGGUCGGUUGAACGGGUGGCUACAUUUGCUGGGGCCCUGAGUUUUGGAGGAGUCAGUUAGCUAGUGCCUGGGCCCUGGUUGGGAGCUGUCCGCGGUCAAGGUGGGACUUCAGUCUCUUCUUUUCAUCGGGAGGGAUAUGCACUCAGUUUCCAGUGAGGGCCCUGGGGUUUUGGAUGCGGCUUGAGCAAAGAAAACAAGGAGGGAAAGAGAUUUUUAGUGGACCGUUCCUGGUAACCUCAGGUCUUCAGCUCUGGUCUGUAAUGGGGGUGGAGGCUGGGGCAGAGUGCAGUUACCUAGCCCUCAGUUUCCCCUUCUUAAGUUCAGAAGAAAAGUGGUAAAAGAAAACGCUAUUCUCCCUGAUCCUUAAACAAAGGUGGUUAAUAAAAGUGUAGGUUCCUGUGCCAAGGUAGGACGAGAGCCAGAGUCACUUUCGUACCCUGACUGGUUAGGGUGCCAAUGCAAACACUAACUUCCUCAUUUGAUUCUGAGUCAACAGAGAUAGGUUGUUGUGGGGGAAUGGCCAGGGGUCAAGUAGGUGGCUGGCAGGGACCCACGGCUUCUCCUCAAGCUCCCUCUCGGCAAGGUGGAAGUGGGUCAGUGGGGUUUGCCUAGGCUGCCAAGGAGCGUUCUAGCUAGUGGUAGCACUAGCCCCUCGCCCACCCCAACCCCACAACUCCCUCCUCUCAGCCAGGCCAUCUGCCCCUUUGGGAGGAAGGAGACCACCCCCACUAGGGCCAAGGACAGCAGAGCCCUGCCUAGUGAGAGGCUGUUGGGGCAAUGGCUCUGUCCUGGGCCUUACCAGCCCUGGGGAGAGGGUGUUUGGCUUGGAAGGCUGGAAUUUAAAUGCCAUCAUCCUUGAUUUUGUAAUAUUUCCACUCGGAACGGUCAGUUCCUCCUUCCCGCUCCUUAGCAUGUAUGCCAACUCUCCCGCGUCAUGGACGUUACCCUUCUACACUCCGGCCUGGGGAGUGCCGAUGUUCUAAUGUGAAGAGAUUCCUUUGUGUGAUAGAACCUAAGAAGUGUAGCUUGGAAAUGAUGAUCCAUGUGAUGAUGACUUUUCUUUCUUUCCUCUUCUUGAGGAGGUGAUUCGUAGACCCCGACUGCCUAUGUAAUGUAAAUAAUGUACAUUUAAUUUAUUGCUAUGGUAGCACAUUGUAUUUGUUAAUGUAUAAAACAAAUUCUAAAAGGUCGACAAAUGUAUAUUUUGUUGCUUAAAUGUGUCUUUGCAGAAAUUGACAAUAAAUAACAUAUUUUGUGUCCAUCA